GUUGGGCAAAAACAGAAAACUUAAAAACGGUAGAGCGCGCAAGGCCAACAAGAGAGUGUGGUGGAAAUGGCGUGGCAAACUAUUUUGAAGCGUUUGGGAUUUCUGUAACACAUACAAAUACAAACAAGCGCACAAAUAAAUAAACGGUAACAAACCACAGAGAUGAUAAAUGUGCGUUAAAACAACUUGUUUCGGCCCCUAGUUGAAGGUGACGUUGCCGGGCCUUUAAGCAGCAUUUAUAAACAGAACACACACAUGCACAGAAAGCAUACUAAACAAAUUAAUUACGUUUAUUACUUAACACCAAUUCCUACACUUGCUCACUCCCACACACGACGACAACGACUGAAAAGCAUGGCCUGCAGAAAAGAAUUUGGUAGUGGUAGUAGUGCAGCAGAACUCAACACAAACGCCACUGAACCCAACUCAGUUCAACUUGUAUGGUGUGGUGAGCCCCGGCAGCAGUAUUGUUUCGUAUACGUGAAAUUCAACACAAGAAACAGCAGCAACUAUGGGGUAGUGCACAGUAGGGAAUAGCGUAAAUUUUUUCGAAAAAUAAAAAUGCUGGUAUUGAUUUAAAAUAAAAAUCUCCUCUUCUAGACCUAAUUUACUGGCAUU